rnacentral:misc_RNA from 1 species
GAUGAAGAACGUAGCGAAAUGCGAUAAGUAAUGUGAAUUGCAGAAUUCAGUGAAUCAUCGAAUCUUUGAACGCACAUUGCGCCCGCCAGUAUUCUGGCGGGCAUGCCUGUUCGAGCGUCAUUUCAACCCUCAGGCCCCCAGUGCCUGGUGUUGGGGAUCGGCCCAGCCUUCCUGUAAGGCCGCCGGCCCCGAAAUCUAGUGGCGGUCUCGCUGUAGUCCUCCUCUGCGUAGUAGCACAAACUCGCAGUUGGAACGCGGCGGUGGCCAUGCCGUUAAACACCCCACUUCUGAAAGUUGACCUCGGAUCAGGUAGGAAUACCCGCUGAACUUAAGCAUAUCAAUAAGCGGAGGA